rnacentral:tRNA from 1 species
GCUUCUAUGGUGGAAUUGGUAGACACGGAAGGCUCAAAAUUUUCUGUUUUUUUACAUGCUGGUUCAAGUCCGGCUAGAAGUA